UUAGCAAAGAAUGUCACUGCAUGAUGCCC
rnacentral:piRNA from 1 species